UACGGAGGGGGCGAGCGUUAUUCGGAAUUAUUGGGCGUAAAGGGCGCGUAGGCGGCUAGGUAAGUCAAAGGUGAAAUCCCUCGGCUCAACUGAGGAACUGCCUUUUAAACUGUCUAGCUCGAGGCCGGGAGGGGGUGGCGGAAUUCCCAGUGUAGCGGUGAAAUGCGUAGAUAUUGGGAGGAACACCAGUGGCGAAGGCGGCCACCUGGACCGGUUCUGACGCUGAUGCGCGAAAGCGUGGGUAGCAAACAGG
rnacentral:rRNA from 1 species